CCUACGGGUGGCAGCAGUGGGGAAUAUUGCACAAUGGGGGAAACCCUGAUGCAGCGACGCCGCGUGAGUGAAGAAGUAAUUCGUUAUGUAAAGCUCGAUCAGCAGGGAAGAAAAUGCCGGUACCUGAGUAAGAAGCCCCGGCUAACUACGUGCCAACAGCCGCGGUAAUAAGUAGGGGGCAAGCGUUAUCCGGAUUUACUGGGCGUAAAGGGAGCGUAGGCGGCACUGCAAGUCUGGAGUGAAAGGCGGGGGCCAAACCCCCGGACUGCUCUGGAAACUGGACGGCUGGAGUGCAGGAGAGGUAAGUGGAAUUCCUGGUGUAGCGGUGAAAUGCGUAGAUAUUGGGAAGAACACCAGUGGCGAAGGCGGCUUACUGGACUGUAACUGACGUUGAGGCUCGAAAGCGUGGGGAGCAAACAGGAUUAGAUACCCCAGUAGUC
rnacentral:rRNA from 1 species